UUUUCCUUUUUUUUUUUUUUUAAGAUCUGCCCAGGUUCAAACCUUCCUCUGGCUACAAGUGUGCAUUUGAUUAGCGUUCUGGGAGUGGCUGCAGGGGAAUCUCCAUUUUCACGGCAAUCCAGGAGGUCGGGAUUUACGGAAGAUGCUUUGUGCUGCGAUUUUUGCCCAGAAGGAGGCGGGGGGGCUUGCUGCGCUACGGAGGAGCCUCAGCGCCG
rnacentral:lncRNA from 1 species